AACGAACGCUGGCGGCAUGCCUAACACAUGCAGGUCGAACGAGACCUUCGGGUCUAGUGGCGCACGGGUGCGUAACGCGUGGGAACCUGCCCUUAGGUUCGGAAUAACUCCCCGAAAGGGGUGCUAAUACCGGAUAAUGUCUUCGGACCAAAGAUUUAUCGCCUUUGGAUGGGCCCGCGUUGGAUUAGCUAGUUGGUAGGGUAAAAGCCUACCAAGGCGACGAUCCAUAGCUGGUCUGAGAGGAUGAUCAGCCACACUGGGACUGAGACACGGCCCAGACUCCUACGGGAGGCAGCAGUGGGUAAUAUUGGACUAUGGGCGAAAGCCUGAUCCAGCUAUGCCUCGUGAGUGAUGAAGGCCUUAGGGUUGUACAGCUCUUUUACCCGGGAUGAUAAUGACAGUACCGGGAGAAUAAGCUCCGGCUAACUCCGUG
rnacentral:rRNA from 1 species